rnacentral:rRNA from 1 species
GAUGAACGCUAGCGACAGGCCUAACACAUGCAAGUCGAGGGGAAGGGCAGCAAUGCCCGAGACCGGCGCACGGGUGCGUAACGCGUAUGUAACCUGCCUUACGACCGGGGGAUAGCCUUCCGAAAGGGAGAUUAAUACCGCAUAAUACUAUAUGUCAGCAUUGGCGUAUAGUUAAAAACUGAGGUGGUGUAAGAUGGGCAUGCGUAUGAUUAGCUAGUUGGGGGGGUAACGGCCCACCAAGGCGACGAUCAUUAGGGGUUCUGAGAGGAAGAUCCCCCACACUGGUACUGAGACACGGACCAGACUCCUACGGGAGGCAGCAGUGAGGAAUAUUGGUCAAUGGGCGGAAGCCUGAACCAGCCAUGUCGCGUGCAGGACGACUGCCCUAUGGGUUGUAAACUGCUUUUGUAUGGGAAGAACAUCAGAUACGUGUAUCUGUCUGCCGGUACCAUACGAAUAAGGAUCGGCUAACUCCGUG